rnacentral:rRNA from 1 species
GAUGAACGCUGGCGGCGUGCCUAACACAUGCAAGUCGUACGAGCUCGAUCUUCGGAACGGGUUAGUGGCGCACGGGUGAGUAACACGCAGGUGACCUACCCCAGAGUGGGGGAUAACUUCUCGAAAGAGAGGCUAAUACCGCAUACACUCGGUCAUUCAUUUGGCCGAGCAAAGCUCCGGCGCUUUGGGACGGGCCUGCGUCCGAUUAGCUAGUUGGUAGGGUAAUGGCUUACCAAGGCUUUGAUCGGUAGCUGGUCUGAGAGGACGAUCAGCCACACUGGCACUGACACACGGGCCAGACUCCUACGGGAGGCAGCAGUGAGGAAUAUUGGGCAAUGGGCGAAAGCCUGACCCAGCAACGCCGCGUGAGGGAUGAAGGCCUUCGGUGUAAACCUCUUUCUGGGAGAAGAGACAGGACGGUAUCCCAGGAAUAAGUACUCGGCUAACUACGUGCCAGCAGCCGCGGUAAU